rnacentral:rRNA from 1 species
UACUCCUACGGGAGGCAGCAGUGAGGAGUAUUGGACAAUGGGGGCAACCCUGAUCCAGCCAUGCCGCGUGUGUGAAGAAGGCCUUUUGGUUGUAAAGCACUUUAAGCAGUGAAGAAGACCUAACGGUUAAUACCCGUUAGCGAUGACAUUAGCUGCAGAAUAAGCACCGGCUAACUCUGUGCCAGCAGCCGCGGUA